AUUGAACGCUGGCGGCAGGCCUAACACAUGCAAGUCGAACGAGUGGCGGACGGGUGAGUAAUGUCUGGGAAACUGCCUGAUGGAGGGGGAUAACUACUGGAACCGGUAGCUAAUCCCGCAUACCAUCAGAUGUUCCCAGAUGGGAUUAGCUAGUAGGUGGGGUAAGGGCUCACCUAGGCGACGAUCCCUAGCUGGUCUGAGAGGAUGACCAGCAACAUGGGAACGGAGAAACGGUCAAGACUCCUACGGGAGGCAGCAGUGGGGAAUAUUGGACAAGGGGCGCAAGCCUGAUGAAGCCAGGCCGCGUGGGUGAAGAAGGCCUUGGGGUUGUAAAGCACGUUCAGCGAGGAGGCGUUACUCGAAGAAGAAGCACCGGCUAACUCCGUGCCAGCAGCCGCGGUAAUUC
rnacentral:rRNA from 1 species